GACGAACGCUGGCGGCGUGCUUAACACAUGCAAGUCGAACGGAAAGGCCCUGCUUUUGUGGGGUGCUCGAGUGGCGAACGGGUGAGUAACACGUGAGUAACCUGCCCUUUACUUUGGGAUAACUUCAUGAAACUGGGGCUAAUACCGGAUAGGAGCUCCUGCUGCAUGGUUUGGGUUGUAAAAUUUCGGCGGUUGGGGAUUGACUCGCGGCUUAUCAGCUUGUUGGUGGGGUAGUGGCUUACCAAGGCAUUGACGGGUAGCCGGCAUGCGAGGGUGACCGGCCACAUUGGGACUGAGGUACGGACCAGAGGCCUACGUGAGGCAGCAGUGGGGAAUAUUGCACAAUAGGCGGAAGCCUGAUGCAGCAACGCCGCGUGCGGGAUGACGGCCUUCGGGGUGUAAACCGCUUUCGACUGGGACGCAGAGUGAGUGACGGUAAUGGGUAAAGAAGCACCGGCUAACUACGUG
rnacentral:rRNA from 1 species